rnacentral:tRNA from 1 species
UGUAGCUCAGUGGCAGAGCACUUGCUUGUAGAAGCUAGAGGCCCUGGGUUCAAUCCCCACUACAA